rnacentral:pre_miRNA from 1 species
CAAGUACUCCCUCCGUCUGGAAUUACUUGUCAUCAAAAUGGAUGUGUCUAGAACUAAAAUACAUCUAGAUACAUCGAUUUCAAUGACAAGUAUUUUCGGACGGAGGGAGUACAAG